rnacentral:rRNA from 1 species
CCAGUAGUGGCGAGCGACCGGGGAAGAGCCCAAACCGUCGGCGUUUCGGCGCCGCCGGGGUAGUAGGGCCGCAAUGUCGCACAAGCACCGUUAAGCGGAACGGACUGGAACGUCCGGCCAUAGCGGGUGAAAGCCCCUUACGCGCCGUCGGUGCUGGCGUAGCGGUUCCCUGAGUAGCGCGGGGCACGAGAAACCCUGUGCGAAUCCGCCGGGACCAUCCGGCAAGGCUAAAUACUCCCUUGAGACCGAUAGUGAACAAGUACCGUGAGGGAAAGGUGGGAAGCACCCCGUCGAGGGGAGUGAAACAGACCCUGAAACCAUGCGCCUACAAGCGGUCGGAGCAUGCUUAUAAAUGUGACGGCGUGCCUUUUGCAUAAUGAACCUACGAGUUGCCGUCGCCGGCGAGGUUAACCGUGAUGACGCGGGGAGCCGCAGUGAGAGCGAGCCUGAAGAGGGCGUACAGUCGGCGGUGGCAGACGCGAAACCAAGUGAUCUACACUUGGCCAGGGUGAAGUCCCGGUAACGCGGGAUGGAGGCCCGAACCGAUAAGCGUUGAAAAGCUUCCGGAUGAGCCGAGUGUAGGAGUGAAAGGCCAAUCAAACUUGGAGAUAGCUCGUACUCCCCGAAAGGCAUUUAGGUGCCGCGUGGGGUGUUCCGGGCGCGAGGUAGAGCGACCGAUAGGACGCGAGGGCUUCACCGCCUGUCAAGUCCUGACGAACUCCGAAUGCGCGUCCGCAGAAGCCCUGCAGUAAGGGGGCGGGUGCUAAGGUCCGCCCCCGAGAGGAGAAGAAUCCAGACCGCCGUCUAAGGCCCCGGAAUUCUGCCUGAGUUAGUCUAACGAAGUGUGCCCCCUGGGACAGCCAGGAUGUUGGCUUGGAAGCAGCCAUUCAUUCAAAGAGUGCGUAACAGCUCACUGGUCGAGGGGGCUCGCGUGGAUAAUAAUCGGGUAUAAGGCAGAUGCCGAAGGCGCGGGAUAUCGAAAGAACGUAUCGGUAGGGGAGCAUUCCAGGUGCGCAGAAUGCACGGGGCGACCCGUGCUGGAGCGCCUGGAAAGGCAAAUGUAGGUAUGAGUAACGACAAGGGGGGCGCGAACCCCCCCCGCCGCAAGGCCAAGGUUUCCCGGGCGAUGCCAGUCAUCCCGGGGUAAGUCGGGCCCUAAGCCUAAGCCGAAUGGCGAUGGCGAUGGCAGACACGGUUGAGAUUCCGUGACUGCCCGUGCGGGCGAUGCGGCAACGGAGAAGUGACACCGCCGCGCGCAGACGGAACUGCGCGUUGAAGGGUGUAGGCGUCGAGGGGCGCAGUUAAGCACACGCCCCGAGCCGAACCUGAAAGUACGGCGCUCCAUUCGUGGAGGGCCGAGAGUGCGGGUAAUCCGGCUCCCAAGAAACCCCGCUAAGCUUAACCGCACGGGCACCCGUACCGCAAACGGACACACGUGGCCGGGUAGAGCAUACCAAGGCGUUGAGAGACUCAUGGUCAAGGAACUAGGCAAACCAGCCCCGUAACUUCGGGAGAAGGGGUCCUCCCCCCGUGGGAGGCGCAGCGAACAGGCCCAGGCAACUGUUUACCAAAAACACAGGGCUGUGCAAACUCGAGAGAUGAAGUAUACAGCCUGACACCUGCCCGGUGCCGGAAGGUUAAGAGGAGGCGUCACCGCAAGGGAAGCGCCGAGUUGAAGCCCCGGUAAACGGCGGCCGUAACUAUAACGGUCCUAAGGUAGCGAAAUUCCUUGUCGGGUAAGUUCCGACCUGCACGAAUGGUGUAAUGAUCCGGGCGCUGUCUCGACCAUGAUCUCAGUGAAAUUGUAGUAUCGGUGAAGAUGCCGAUUACCCGCGAUGGGACGAAAAGACCCCGUGAACCUUUACUGCAGCUUAGCGCUGACCUUGGCCAUCGGAUGUGUAGGAUAGGCCGGAGGCAAUGAAGGCGCCACGCCAGUGGUGCCGGAGCCGCCGUUGAAAUACGGCCCUUCCGCUGUCCGGGGUCUAACGCGCGAUGCGCGGACACCGCUUGGCGGGCAGUUUGACUGGGGUGGUCGCCUCCAAAAGCGUAACGG